GUGAGGAAUUUUCCGCAAUGGGCGAAAGCCUGACGGAGCAAUGCCGCGUGAAGGAUGAAGGCCUAUGGGUUGUAAACUUCUUUUCUCAGAAAAGAAUUAUGACGGUAUCUGAGGAAUAAGCAUCGGCUAACUCUGUGCCAGCAGCCGCGGUAAGACAGAGGAUGCAAGCGUUAUCCGGAAUGAUUGGGCGUAAAGCGUCUGUAGGUUGUUUAAAAAGUAUUCUGUCAAAGAUUAGGGCUUAACCCUAGAUAGGCAGAAUAAACUUUUAAGCUAGAGUUUGGUAGAGGCAGAGGGAAUUCCCGGGGGAGCGGUGAAAUGCGUAGAUAUCGGGAGGAACACCAAAGGCGAAGGCACUCUGCUGGGCCAAUACUAACACUGAGAGACGAAAGCGAGGGGAGCAAAUGGGAUUAGAAACCCGGGUAGUCC
rnacentral:rRNA from 1 species